GAUGAACGCUGGCGGCGUGCCUAAUACAUGCAAGUCGAGCGAACGGACGAGAAGCUUGCUUCUCUGAUGUUAGCGGCGGACGGGUGAGUAACACGUGGAUACCCUACCUAUAAGACUGGGAUAACUUCGGGAAACCGGAGCUAAUACCGGAUAAUAUUUUCAACCGCAUGGUUCAAAAGUGAAAGACUGUCUUGCUGUCACGUAUAGAUGGAUCCGCGCUGCAUUAGCUAGUUGGUAAGGUAACGGCUUACCAAGGCAACGAUGCAUAGCCGACCUGAGAGGGUGGACGGCCAGCCUGGAACUGAGACUCAGCCCAGACACUGACGGGGGGCAGCAGUAGGGAAUCUUCCGCAAUGGGCGAAAGCCUGACGGAGCAACGCCGCGUGAGUGAUGAAGGUCUUCUGAUCGUAAAACUCUGUUAUUAGGGAAGAACAUAUGUGUAAGUAACUGUGCACAUCUUGACGGUACCUAAUCAGAAAGCCACGGCUAACUACGUG
rnacentral:rRNA from 1 species